CUGAGACGGCGUGUUUUGAGCAACAUCGUUGAAAGGAGUAGUAUUUGUGAAGUGUAAUAGAGACUGAGAGAGAAAGGGGGGAAAUGGGUAUGUGAUGAGAGUGAGAUUGGCGUCGUUCUUCACCGGGGCUGCAGCGGCGUCGUUUCUGGGGCUCUACACCCUCCACAAGGAUUACAAGGUCCCGCACCAAUCCUUUACUCAACAGAUCCCAUCAUCAUGAUAGACAUUGCUCGUCUCCCACACUUUGUGUAAAUCUUCUCAAAAGCAAACAAAAGACAGAAAACAUAUAUUACAAAGUAUAAUUAAGGCAGGACAAUUUUGGGAGAAGUGGAGAUAAAGAGUUGGUGGAGGGCGCGGGUGCGAGAUCUGAGAUCGAGGGUUUCUUAGCAACACAGAACAAAGCAGAAGAAGCAACAUAGUGCCCUCUCUCUCUCUCCCUCUCUCUCUGGGAAGAACAAAGCAGAAGAAGCAACACAGAACAGAACCAUCGAACCCACUCAGAACCACCGUGCUUCGAAGUAACGGCGUGAAAAACUGCUCCGCAACUCGCGCCGCUCCGCCGUGAUAACGGCUGCUCCAGCCACGACCCGAAACCGCCCUGCUACACACAUGUACGUUGCGGAUGGGUGCCGCUCCGCUCCGCCUGACAACUAUGCUACAGACAUAAAUUACAGUAGGAAGGAGGAAGGAACGAAGCGGAAGCGGAAGCGAAAUCGCUUUGUCUCUAUAUUGAGCCACUUUGAAUCUGUCGCCGCAACGGUAGAUCAAAUCGAGUUUCACCUGAAUGCUCUUUCUGGAUGCGAUUUAGAGUAACAGGGUCUGAUGCCUGUGGAUUGUAUCGAGUCAGAGCUGGUGGAUCUCUCCCAUAUAAUGCUUUAAAUGGUGUCAUACCAAUGCUGGUGUGAAAUGAUGUGUUGUACCAAAACUCUGCCCAAUUUAAAGCCUUGUACCAAGCUUUUGGAUUGUGAAAAGUGAAAUACCUGAGAAACAUCUCCAAGCACUUGUUCACUACUUCUGAUUGGCCAUCGGAUUGAGGAUGGUAGGUUGAGGACAUGGCCAAUGUGGUACCCUGCAAUUGAAAUAAGUUCUUCCAGAAAUUGCUAGUAAAAACCUUAUCCCUGUCAGACACUAUUGACUUAGGCAUUCCAUGUAAUUUAACCACAUGAGUCAUGAAUAACUCAGCUACAAACCUGCUCGUGUAAUCCCCUUUGAGUGCUAUGAAAUGACCAUAUUUUGAUAAACGGUCUAUUAUUACCAGAAUAGUAUUGAAGCCAUACGAAUUUGGUAGGCCAGUGAUAAAUCCAUUGCUAUAUCCUCUCAUAUAUGUGAUGGUGUAGGCAGUGGCUGCAGCAGCUCAGCAGCUUUGGUAUGUAAAGUUUUUGCUUGUUGACAAAUUGCACAAGAUCGAACAAAUUGUUGCACAUCAUGCUUCAAAUCUGGCUAGUGAAACUGUUGUGUCACAUUUGUGGGUGGUGGCCACUCAUGGAUUGCCUGAACCAUACUACUACCCAUAGAUACUCCUUGUUCUGGAAACUAUGUGUCCCAAGUAUUCAAUUUCCAAUACUCCAAAUGAACACUUUGACAACUUCACAAACAAUACAUGUUGUUUAAGGACUCGUAGCACAUUUUCCAGAUGUGUCAAAUGUUCUUGGUCUAGCAUUUCAUGCACCAUCUUCUCAAUUUGUUCUUUCUGGCUAUGAGGAUAUCUUCACGGUUUGACUUUGACUUGCUGCGUACCCUCCAAAAGUGGAAUAACAUGAUUUUGACUUCUAGCAGGUGGUAAUGAUGUUGGAGUUUGGAACAUUGAACUGUAAGUGUGCAGCAAUAGGGCAAUCUCUGGGGCUAUAUGUGGUGGUAAAUCUUUCAAAACAUCAUCCUCAGUGUGGAACUGAAAUAGCUGAACAGUAAAUGAAUCAGCAAUAGCAUCAAUAUUCACAUCCUUCUGUAAUGAUUGAAUUGAGCCAUUUUAGGUGAUGUGCCUCUCUCCUUGUAAUGUCACAAAUUUUCCAUUGUAGAUAAAUUUUAGUGUCAAAGCUGCAUAGUCUGCCACAUGUGGGCCUAAAGUAGCCAGCCAUGAAUCCUGCCAUAGGCAAUAAGAAUACAGGUACUCUCAACUCAUAUCCUUGUAAUGUGAUGGACAAAUUAGGGACCACUCCCUCAACAGUCAUAGAUUGGCCCAAAACUUUGAAACAAGGACCUGGUUCCACCGGGAGUUUAAGAAAUUCAGCAAUUUGGGGUUGUAAAAAAUUAUCUGAACUUCCUCCAUCAACCAAGACUUGUACACGGAUUUGCCCAAUUUGACAUGUGAAUCACAAAAUACCCAUGCUAUCGGUCCCUUUCAUUGCAUUCAGAGAAAGAUGGUGGAUGAACAACUUCAAGAAAUUACAUUGAAGAUUUGAUAAUAUGUUGUCUCGUUGCUUCAUGUUUGGGAGAUGAGUUGAGAAUUAUUUUUUUUUUCUUCUUUGUAUUUAACUUGCCUUGGUUCUUAUUUCUUAUUUAUUUUAGUAUUUGACAUUAAGAUUUUCGAAUGGAACUUAUAGUAUUUUACUUAGCUUGCUUAUUUUGUUUAUAAUUUUUUUUUGAAUACUUAAAGUGUUCCGAUUAUAAUUCUUACUUGAAUCAUUGUGAUUAGUGAAUUUUAAUCACAUAUUAGAGCGCUCUAAUUAAUUUUAACU